rnacentral:rRNA from 1 species
UACGAAGGGGGCUAGCGUUGUUCGGAAUCACUGGGCGUAAAGCGCACGUAGGCGGAUCUUUAAGUCAGGGGUGAAAUCCUGGAGCUCAACUCCAGAACUGCCUUUGAUACUGGGGAUCUCGAGUCCGGAAGGAGGUGAGUGGAACUCCGAGUGUAGAGGUGAAUUCGUAGAUAUUCGGAAGAACACCAGUGGCGAAGGCGGCUCACUGGUCCGGGUACUGACGCUGAGGUGCGAAAGCGUGGGGAGCAAACAGG